UCAGUCAGUAAGGGAUCGUACCCGAAACCGACACAGGUGGUCAGGUCGAGAAGACCAAGGCGCUUGAGAGAACUCUGGUGAAGGAACUAGGCAAAAUAGUACCGUAACUUCGGGAGAAGGUACGCUGUUGAGGGUUAAGGAUUUACUCCGUAAGCCUUCGGCAGCCUCAGAAACUAGGCCGCUGCAACUGUUUAUUAAAAACAUAGCACUCUGCAAACACGAAAGUGGACGUAUAGGGUGUGAUGCCUGCCCGGUGCUGGAAGGUUAAUUGAUGGGGUUAGCUAACGCGAAGCUCUUGAUCGAAGCCCCAGUAAACGGCGGCCGUAACGAUAACGGUCCUAAGGUAGCGAAAUUCCUUGUCGGGUAAGUUCCGACCUGCACGAAUGGCAUAGUGAUGGCGGCGCUGUCUCCACCAGAGACUCAGUGAAAUCGAAAUCGCGGUGAAGAUGCCGUGUACCCGCGGCUAGACGGAAAGACCCCGUGAACCUUUACUGCAGCUUUGCACUGAACUUUGAUCUUACCUGUGUAGGAUAGGUGGGAGGCUUUGAAGCUCGGACGCUAGUUCGAGUGGAGCCAUCCUUGAAAUACCACCCUGGUAAUAUUGAGGUUCUAACCCAGGUCCGUUAUCCGGAUCGGGGACAGUGUAUGGUGGGUAGUUUGACUGGGGCGGUCUCCUCCUAAAGAGUAACGGAGGAGUACGAAGGUGCGCUCAGCGUGGUCGGAAAUCACGCGUAGAGUAUAAAGGCAAAAGCGCGCUUAACUGCGAGACCGACAAGUCGAGCAGGUACGAAAGUAGGUCUUAGUGAUCCGGUGGUUCUGUAUGGAAGGGCCAUCGCUCAACGGAUAAAAGGUACUCUGGAGAUAACAGGCUGAUACCGCCCAAGAGUUCAUAUCGACGGCGGUGUUUGGCACCUCGAUGUCGGCUCAUCUCAUCCUGGGGCUGAAGCAGGUCCCAAGGGUAUGGCUGUUCGCCAUUUAAAGAGGUACGCGAGCUGGGUUUAGAACGUCGUGAGACAGUUCGGUCCCUAUCUACCGUGGGCGUUGGAGACUUGAGAGGAUCUGCUUCUAGUACGAGAGGACCGAAGUGGACGAACCUCUGGUGUUCCGGUUGUCACGCCAGUGGCACUGCCGGGUAGCUAUGUUCGGAAGGGAUAACCGCUGAAAGCAUCUAAGCGGGAAGCCUACCUCAAGAUAAGGUCUCCCUGAGGGUUUAACCCUCCUAAAGAGCCGUUAGAGACCAUGACGUUGAUAGGUUCGGU
rnacentral:rRNA from 1 species